rnacentral:lncRNA from 1 species
GUGUUGAAAGGAUUUUAAGUCCAUAUGCAAAGGACUACGGUGAUCUUUCUACCACGACAUUAACAGCAGCAGAUGUGCCGUGGCCUGAAGUAAUAGAAGCUUGUAUUAAGACUCUCUUAUCUUGGCUGCACACCCUGUCUGAAGGAGAACAUGUAUAUUAUUUACCACAAGAUCUUGAAGAAUUCAAACAACCAUCAUUAUGGACAGAGGCUGCGACAGAAACA